ACUGAAAUUGGGGCUGCAUGCAGGGCUGGAGCAUCAGGUUUUAUUUCAUGGAAGAAGGGCUGGAGAUCCCCUCAGUUCUGCUCCAUUAUAGACCAAACGGUUGAGCAGUGAGUGCU